rnacentral:rRNA from 1 species
GAGACUCUGUGCGCGUGCAUAUCAAUAAGCGGAGGAAAAGAAACUAACAAGGAUUCCCUUAGUAACGGCGAGUGAAGCGGGAAGAGCUCAAAUUUGAAAUCUUCAAGGUUCUACCUUGACGAAUUGUAGUUUAAAGAAGUGUUUUCUGUUAGAUGAGUAGCAAAAGUUCCUUGGAAUGGGACAUCAUAGAGGGUGAGAAUCCCGUAUUUGGUUAUUCAUUCUAGCUUUGUGAUACACUUUCAAAGAGUCGGAUUGUUUGGGAAUGCAGUCCAAAAUGGGUGGUAAAUUUCAUCUAAAGCUAAAUAUUGGCGAGAGACCGAUAGCGAACAAGUACCGUGAGGGAAAGAUGAAAAGAACUUUGAAAAGAGAGUUAAACAGUACGUGAAAUUGUCAAAAGGGAAGCGUUUGACACCAGUGUUGUUUUUCCGAAAAUCAAUUACGAAUGGCUUGAUUUUGUGUUGUAUUGACCUUAUCAGCUUUCUGCACUUUUUUCGAGUCUUUCUUAAUGCACUUUCCGGUUAACAAGUCAACAUCAAUUUCUUUUGUUGUAAAAGAGUAUUCGGAAGGUGGCUUUACUUUUCGGAGAAAGUGUUUAUAGCCCUAUACUUCUACAAUCGGAGAGGAUUGAGGUCUGCAGCGUAGAUCCUUCGGGGUUAGAUACACUUGUGCUAAGUUGUAGCUUUUCAUAGACAACUUGUUGACUAUGUUUAGUCAUGCGGCUUACUCGCUUAUGCUAUUUUACCUACGCUUAGGAUGUUGACUGAUAUGUAGUCGUA